rnacentral:rRNA from 1 species
UACGUAGGGGGCAAGCGUUAUCCGGAUUUACUGGGUGUAAAGGGAACGUAGACGGCUUUGCAAGCCAGAUGUGAAAGCCCGGGGCUCAACCCCGGGACUGCAUUUGGAACUGUGUGGCUAGAGUGUCGGAGAGGCAGGCGGAAUUCCUAGUGUAGCGGUGAAAUGCGUAGAUAUUAGGAGGAACACCAGUGGCGAAGGCGGCCUGCUGGACGAUGACUGACGUUGAGGCUCGAAAGCGUGGGGAGCAAACAGG